ensembl:lncRNA uncharacterized LOC110076964
ACCACCUACUUUGUUCUACUCGUGCCUUAGCACUCCCCCUGUGCCCUGUACUUCCAGAAGUUUAGCCCUUUGUUAGGGCAUCUAGUCUAUAACAUGGCAAGCUACUGUCUAUAACUGAUUUUAGUUAUAUUCUGCUGGAUUUGUACCUCACUCUACUAUAGCACGCUUUAAAAAUGCACAGGGGAAUUGUAGGCAGAGAGGGCACAAAGUACAGCAAAAGAAAAGUACACAGCAAGUUGUGUGUCUGGGAGGGUCAGGAAGGAGUCACACACGGUGACACCACAUCCAAGGGCAAAAUUACUUUCUUUAUUGAACAUAUUUUUUAAUCCCGCCUCUCUCCUUCAAAAGGACCCAAGUUAUGAUCGUUCUUGAUACAAAGCCUCCGGAACUACUGAGUACAGUACUGUGCGCCAGUUAUCCGCCCGAUGCCCUUAUUAGGAGGAAAGGCCCUAAACCUCCCCUUCGAUGAGGAAAUCAGAUCAUAAAUAUCCUCCCCGCCACCCACCCGCACCCAGAGGUGGUUUAAGCGUGCAAGAGGCGGCCUGAGGCGUCCUCCCGGGAGCUGCCUCAGGACCCAGCCUCUCUCUCCAAAAAGCCGCUCCCUUCGACCGUCUCGGCACCUGCUCGAACUUGAGCGGCUCUUUGCUUUAUGAACAGCGAGGGCUCCUCCGUCGUCUCCGGACAGCCCCGAACGAGGAGAGUCGUGGGGAAGGUUUGAGAGAGAGAAAGAAAAGAGUUCACAGGACCAGCGAAACCGCGCCUUUGGAGGAAGAGGCGGCAGCAGCAGCCGCCAUCGCGCGGAUUUUCACUUUCGCUACUUCGAGCGGCCGGGACGCCGGGACGACGCGACGGCCAUGUGGGGACUGUUCUGGGCUCUGCUCCUGCUUCUUCGGUUGGAGCUUCCGCUCGGGGCCUCGCCAGAAGAACAGUGUCAUCAGAAUACCAUCGGUGGCAUUGAAGGAAAAGAUAUUGCUUUACACCCAAAUGUUAGUGGCUCGCCAGCAGAGAUUACCUGGAUGAAAGACAGAAAUAUAGUGGCUACGUCAAUUGAUGGUUUUCCAACAAAGAACAAUUUAGAGCUUAUCGUUAAUAAUGGUAGUUUGAUUCUCCACAACCUGUCACUGAAAGAUGUUGGAUGUUACAAAGCUGAAAUUGAAGUUAAAGAUGAAGUAACAGAAACAUUUUUUGGUUUGAAAGUAUUAGAUCCACCGCUGCUCUGUAAGUGUUGGCCCGAGUUCUUCACGAAACUCUUUUUAUCAGCUUGACAAAAGAGUAAAGGCUUUCCAGACAGGGAAAAUGCCCCAUCCUCUUUCUGCUACUUGGUCAUAAAGGAGUGUAGGGCAUAUCAUUAUUCAGGGUCACACUGUAGUUUUAAAAAGAAGCCUCCCUCAAAACUGCUUCCUCAGGGGACCUUGAAAUCUUUUUUAAAAAAAUAUGUAAAAAUCCUUCCCUCCAACCACCACCCACAGCAAAAAAGAGGCAUAAUCAAAACACUGGUAGACUGUGCAAAUCGGAACUGUGAAGCUCAGUUUCUCAGCACUGAACUCAACCAUCUGAAUUGGGCCCUACAGGCAAAUGGCUACUCCAAAAAUGAAAGCACAAGAGCCAUCAAACCAAGAAAACAACACCGAAUUGAAGAAGAAAAACAGCCACCCACAAAUAAAGUAUUUCUGCCAUACA